rnacentral:rRNA from 1 species
GCUUCCUACGGGGCGCAGCAGUGGGGGAUAUUGCACAAUGGGGGGAACCCUGAUGCAGCGACGCCGCGUGAGCGAUGAAGUAUUUCGGUAUGAAAAGCUCUAUCAGCAGGGAAGAAAAUGACGGUACCGGACUAAGAAGCCCCGGCGAACUACGUGCCAGCAGCCGCGGUAAUAAGGAGGGGGCAAGCGUUAUCCGGAUUUACUGGGUGUAAAGGGAGCGUAGACGGCAGUGCAAGUCUGAAGUG